CCUACGGGAGGCAGCAGUGAGGAAUAUUGGUCAAUGGGCGCAAGCCUGAACCAGCCAAGUAGCGUGAAGGAUGACUGCCCUACGGGUUGUAAACUUCUUUUAUAAGGGAAUAAAGUGAGGCACGUGUGCCUGUUUGUCUGUACUUUAUGAAUAAGGAUCGGCUAACUACGUGCCAGCAGCCGCGGUAAUACGGAGGAUCCGAGCGUUAUCCGGAUUUAUUGGGUUUAAAGGGAGCGUAGAUGGGUUGUUAAGUCAGUUGUGAAAGGUUGCGGCUCAACCGUAAAAUUGCAAUUGAUACUGGAAGUCUUGAGUGCAGUUGAGGUAGGCGGAAUUCGUGGUGUAGCGGUGAAAUGCUUAGAGAUCACGAAGAACUCCGAUUGCGAAGGCAGCUUACUAAACUGCCACUGACAUUGAUGCUCGAAAGUGUGGGUAUCAAACAGGAUUAGAUACCCGAGUAGUC
rnacentral:rRNA from 1 species